rnacentral:rRNA from 1 species
AUUCAGAACUUGGCAGAGAUGCCUUGGUGCCUUCGGGAACUGUGAGACAGGUGCUGCAUGGCUGUCGUCAGCUCGUGUUGUGAAAUGUUGGGUUAAGUCCCGCAAUGAGCGCAACCCUUAUCCUUUGUUGCCAGCGGUUAGGCCGGGAACUCAAAGGAGACCGCCAGUGAUAAACUGGAGGAAGGUGGGGAUGACGUCAAGUCAUCAUGGCCCUUACGACCAGGGCUACACACGUGCUACAAUGGCGCAUACAAAGAGAAGCAAACUCGCGAGAGCAAGCGGACCUCAUAAAGUGCGUCGUAGUCCGGAUUGGAGUCUGCAACUCGACUCCAUGAAGUCGGAAUCGCUAGUAAUCGUGAAUCAGAAUGUCACGGUGAAUACGUUCCCGGGCCUUGUACACACCGCCCGUCACACCAUGGGAGUGGGUUGCAAAAGAAGUAGGUAGCUUAACCUUCGGGAGGGCGCUUACCACUUUGUGAUUCAUGACUGGGGUGAAGUCGUAACAAGGUAAC